GCUCCCGUGGUGCUGCGCGGCAGCGCGCUGGGCGGUUGCUGUGGUGACAGUCCUGCGGGCGCGGGCGGAGGUGUCAUGGCCGCACGGCGGUGCAGGAGGCCCUGCGCGCUUCCCCCCCUUUUGGCGGCGGCUCGCGGUGCCCCUCAAGGCGACUCGGCCUCGAAGGCUCAGCCCGGCGUGGGGGGCGGCAGCGAAUCCCAGUGUCUUGGCGGUUCCCUUAUACGAGAGGUGUAGGAAACCCGGUGCCUGCCGUAUUAAUUAAUGCGUGUGGUCAUUAAUCUUCAGUCCAAAGGGCUCCAAUCUUUCACUUUACAGCUUACAAUCACAUCCAAAUUUUCAUGCUAAUUUAGAAAAAAUUACAGAAUUGCAACGGUUGGGAGAGACCUCGAGAUCGUCAAGUCCAACCCCCUUACUAAAGCGGUUACCCUACAACAGGUCACACAGCCUCAUAAGGACAGAAACAAGAAUAUCUUUCAAGAGGCUGUGUGUUACAUUACUGUAUGGGAACUGCUGAGUCAUGGCCUGAACCACUGAUUGAUCACCUGUGAAAAGGACUGGAUCAGCCCUGGGAGCACAGGGUUUCCAAGAAGGCAAUGUAAAGGAUAUCCAACGUCAACAAGUGCUUUUGUUGCCAAUGCCUACUGCAGAGGAGGGUGAGGAGGCUGCCAAGAAGAGUUUCAGAAUGGAUGAAAGCCCUACACCAAACAAAGGUCUAAAGGCUGUGGUCGAGAGCAGGCAUGGACUGACCAACUAUCCACCAUUUUUGCCUCCAAAUAUUUUCCAAGUUUUAACCCUUCAUGAGAGGCUGUUCUUGUCUUGCUCAGGUAGGUGACUUUUUUUACUUAUUCCAGUUUCUACUUCAUUGUCAUUAUUAUUAUAGACUAAAUACAGCAUUCUGUAUGGGUACUGACUAAGUAAUAUUU
rnacentral:lncRNA from 1 species